rnacentral:misc_RNA from 1 species
GAUGAAGAACGUAGCGAAAUGCGAUACGUAAUGUGAAUUGCAGAAUUCAGUGAAUCAUCGAAUCUUUGAACGCAUAUUGCGCUCUCUGGUAUUCCGGAGAGCAUGCUUGUUUGAGUAUCAGUAAACACCUCAACUCCCUUUUCUUUUUUGAAAUUGGAGCUGGACUUGAGUGAUCCCAACGCUUUCUUCCAAGAAAGUGGCGGGUUGCUUGAAAUGCAGGUGCAGCUGAACUUUUAUCUGAGCUAUAAGAAUAUCUAUUUAGUCUGCCUAAAAAACAGAUUAUUACCUUUGCUGCAGCUAACAUAAAGGAGACUAGUUCUUGUGCUGACUGAUGCAGGAUUCACAGAGACAGCUUCGGCUGACUUUGUAAACUCGAUCUCAAAUCAAGUAAGACUACCCGCUGAACUUAAGCAUAUCAAUAAGCGGAGGA